CUGAAACCGUGUACGUACAAGCAGUGGGAGCCCCACCACCAAAGCAUUCUCUGGUGUUGAAGGCCCUGCAAAGCAGCAUCGCGGUGGCGGAGCGUCGUUUGCGACGCCCAACACACAAAACAAGCGGUGAGUGCUUUGGGGUGGGGUGACUGCGUACCUUUUGUAUAAUGGGUCAGCGACUUAUAUUCUGUAGCAAGGUUAACCGAAUAGGGGAGCCGGAGGGAAACCGAGUCUUAAUUGGGCGUUAAGUUGCAGGGUAUAGACCCGAAACCCGGUGAUCUAGCCAUGGGCAGGUUGAAGGUUGGGUAACACUAACUGGAGGACCGAACCGACUAAUGUUGAAAAAUUAGCGGAUGACCUGUGGCUGGGGGUGAAAGGCCAAUCAAACCGGGAGAUAGCUGGUUCUCCCCGAAAGCUAUUUAGGUAGCGCCUCGUGAAUUCAUCUCCGGGGGUAGAGCACUGUUUCGGCUAGGGGGCCAUCCCGGCUUACCAACCCGAUGCAAACUGCGAAUACCGGAGAAUGUUAUCACGGGAGACACACGGCGGGUGCUAACGUCCGUCGUGAAGAGGGAAACAACCCAGACCGCCAGCUAAGGUCCCAAAGUCAUGGUUAAGUGGGAAACGAUGUGGGAAGGCCCAGACAGCCAGGAUGUUGGCUUAGAAGCAGCCAUCAUUUAAAGAAAGCGUAAUAGCUCACUGGUCGAGUCGGCCUGCGCGGAAGAUGUAACGGGGCUAAACCAU
rnacentral:rRNA from 1 species